rnacentral:misc_RNA from 1 species
CCGAGUUUACAACUCCCAAACCCCUGUGAACAUACCUAUACGCUGCCUCGGCGGAUCAGCCCGCGCUCCCGUAAAACGGGACGGCCGCCGCAGGACCACAAACCCUGAAUUUUAUUGUAACUUUUGAGUUUAUAAAACACAAUAAAUCA